AUAAAUGUGUAUCAACUGUAUUGUAGGCUUAUUACUUGAACAAUAAAAUCACAACAACUGCUUAUUUUUCAGCUGUAGGACACAAGUAAGAGGAGAAGAAUGCUGCUCAGCUGGGUCGGCGUCGGCCACACUACUUAUUCAAGAAGCCCUUGGAUAUCAUCGGCAUGUAUGAAGCACAGUCAUUCCGGUAGUCCGUUCCUCGAUGGACGUGAUGACCUGGCACCAAAACCGCUUAAUGUGUACGGAGCUGUGUCUGCAUCGAGGGAAGAACGCGGCACUGAAAUGACACAAAUGAAAGAAGAUUACUUCUGCUCUGCUGGGUCUGUG